rnacentral:rRNA from 1 species
UACAGGGGGUGCAAACGUUGCUCGGAAUCAUUGGGCGUAAAGCGCACGUAGGCGGUUCGUUAUGUCGGAUGUGAAAGCCCUUGGCUUAACCGAGGAAGUGCAUCCGAAACUGGCGAGCUAGAGUACGAAAAGAGGAUCGCGGAAUUCCCGGUGUAGAGGUGAAAUUCGUAGAUAUCGGGGAGGAACACCGGUGGCGAAGGCGGCGAUCUGGGGUCGAUACUGACGCUGAGGUGCGAAAGCGUGGGGAGCAAACAGG